rnacentral:rRNA from 1 species
GAUGAACGCUGGCGGCGUGCCUAAUACAUGCAAGUCGAGCGAACGGACGAGAAGCUUGCUUUUCUGAUGUUAGCGGCGGACGGGUGAGUAACACGUGGAUAACCUACCUAUAAGACUGGGAUAACUUCGGGAAACCGGAGCUAAUACCGGAUAAUAUUUUGAACCGCAUGGUUCAAAAGUGAAAGACGGUCUUGCUGUCACUUAUAGAUGGAUCCGCGCUGCAUUAGCUAGUUGGUAAGGUAACGGCUUACCAAGGCAACGAUGCAUAGCCGACCUGAGAGGGUGAUCGGCCACACUGGAACUGAGACACGGUCCAGACUCCUACGGGAGGCAGCAGUAGGGAAUCUUCCGCAAUGGGCGAAAGCCUGACGGGGCAACGCCGCGUGAGUGAUGAAGGUCUUCGGAUCGUAAAACUCUGUUAUUAGGGAAGAACAUAUGUGUAAGUAACUGUGCACAUCUUGACGGUACCUAAUCAGAAAGCCACGGCUAACUACGUGCCAGCAGCCGCGGUAAUACGUAGGUGGCAAGCGUUAUCCGGAAUUAUUGGGCGUAAAGCGCGCGUAGGCGGUUUUUUAAGUCUGAUGUGAAAGCCCACGGCUCAACCGUGGAGGGUCAUUGGAAACUGGAAAACUUGAGUGCAGAAGAGGAAAGUGGAAUUCCAUGUGUAGCGGUGAAAUGCGCAGAGAUGUGGAGGAACACCAGUGGCGAAGGCGACUUUCUGGUCUGUAACUGACGCUGAUGUGCGAAAGCGUGGGGAUCAAACAGGAUUAGAUACCCUGGUAGUCCACGCCGUAAACGAUGAGUGCUAAGUGUUAGGGGGUUUCCGCCCCUUAGUGCUGCAGCUAACGCAUUAAGCACUCCGCCUGGGGAGUACGACCGCAAGGUUGAAACUCAAAGGAAUUGACGGGGGCCCGCACAAGCGGUGGAGCAUGUGGUUUAAUUCGAAGCAACGCGAAGAACCUUACCAAAUCUUGACAUCCUUUGACAACUCUAGAGAUAGAGCCUUCCCCUUCGGGGGACAAAGUGACAGGUGGUGCAUGGUUGUCGUCAGCUCGUGUCGUGAGAUGUUGGGUUAAGUCCCGCAACGAGCGCAACCCUUAAGCUUAGUUGCCAUCAUUAAGUUGGGCACUCUAAGUUGACUGCCGGUGACAAACCGGAGGAAGGUGGGGAUGACGUCAAAUCAUCAUGCCCCUUAUGAUUUGGGCUACACACGUGCUACAAUGGACAAUACAAAGGGCAGCGAAACCGCGAGGUCAAGCAAAUCCCAUAAAGUUGUUCUCAGUUCGGAUUGUAGUCUGCAACUCGACUACAUGAAGCUGGAAUCGCUAGUAAUCGUAGAUCAGCAUGCUACGGUGAAUACGUUCCCGGGUCU